UGAGGAAUAUUGGUCAAUGGGCGUGAGCCUGAACCAGCCAAGCCGCGUGAGGGAAGAAGGUACGAAGUAUCGUAAACCUCUUUUGUCAGGGAACAAAACCGCUCCGCGGAGCGGUCUGAGUGUACCUGAAGAAAAAGCAUCGGCUAACUCCGUGCCAGCAGCCGCGGUAAUACGGAGGAUGCGAGCGUUAUCCGGAAUGAUUGGGCGUAAAGGGUGCGUAGGCGGCCUGUUAAGUCUGAAGUGAAAGGUACCGGCUCAACCGGUAUAGGCUUUGGAAACUGGCAGGCUGGAGGACAGGAGAGGGCGGUGGAACUCCAUGUGUAGCGGUAAAAUGCGUAGAUAUUAGGAGGAACACCAGUGGCGAAGGCGGCUUACUGGACGGUAACUGACGUUGAGGCUCGAAAGCGUGGGAGCAAACAGGAUUAGAUACC
rnacentral:rRNA from 1 species